rnacentral:rRNA from 1 species
CCCCGGUAAACGGCGGCCGUAACUAUAACGGUCCUAAGGUAGCGAAAUUCCUUGUCGGGUAAGUUCCGACCUGCACGAAUGGCGUAAUGAUGGCCAGGCUGUCUCCACCCGAGACUCAGUGAAAUUGAACUCGCUGUGAAGAUGCAGUGUACCCGCGGCAAGACGGAAAGACCCCGUGAACCUUUACUAUAGCUUGACACUGAACAUUGAGCCUUGAUGUGUAGGAUAGGUGGGAGGCUUUGAAGUGUGGACGCCAGUCUGCAUGGAGCCGACCUUGAAAUACCACCCUUUAAUGUUUGAUGUUCUAACGUGGACCCGUAAUCCGGGUUGCGGACAGUGUC